CCAGGUCCUGCUUGCUGAAGCCUUAGGGAGGAAAAGCUUUCACUCUCAGGACAAGAAUGUGAGAAUUAUGGGGCGUCAGAUGCUACACCUCCCUUGUGACCAUGAAGAGAAGGACACCGAUGGACACUGUGAGACACAGCUCACAUCCAAAGGGAACUAUGCUGAAAAACGGACCCUGGUGCCAUCCUUCGAGCUUCCCUGAUAACGUCUGCCGUUAAGAAGAGCGACUUCUAGGUUCCUGCCAUCUACAGCAUGGACAAUUCCAACUCAUCCUAUGGACUGACAGUUACAGCAUGGCUUGUGGCCGCCUGACCGCGCGGAGCAUGGUGCACCAGGAGCGAAGCCCUGCCGUGUUGGUCACAGGACCUGUAGCAGAGACAAGUUCGUUGAAAAGGACGUGUAGUCACAGCUUUAAUAGUGCUUGCUUAUGAAUUUGAAAGUAGAGCAACAAGUCGAAUGAGAGCUCCUGCUCUGGGGAAGCCAGAUACCAUGUUUUGAGGACAAUCAAGCAGCUUCAUGGAGAGGCCUACAAAAAUGAAGAAUUGAAGCACCCCAGCAAGUGAAGAACUGAAGCCUCUUGCUAAAAGCCGGAAAGGAAUUGAGGCCUCCUGCAAAUAAUCAUGUGAGUGUCAUUUUGAAAGUGGAUCUUCAAGCCUCAGUCAAGCAAUUUCAUUGCAGAUACUGAGUCAGAACCACUGACUAGCACAUUCUUGAGUUUCUGGCCCCGAGAAACUAUGAGAUAAUAAUAGUUUUCUGUUUUGAAUUGUUAAGUUUUAAAAUAAUUUGUUAUGCAGUAAUAAAAAACUAAUAUGACAAUGGUCUAACAACCAUAGCUUUGAUGAAUAUAGUGGAUUGGCACUCAGGAUCCUUUCUAUCCUUCUUUUAGACUGCCCACCAUACCACAGAGACUAGAAUGCUGAAAAACACACUAUUACUACAUUUUAGAAACUCCCUUGCAGCUAGGAUUCAAAGAGUGUUUAGAUUCUACCAAUCAGAAUGCCCUCCUGUGAGAUAUGGAAGGGGCAGGCAAGGAAAGUCUUAUUUCUGUUGCCUCCAUUAGUAGGCACAUUUGUAGAGGGUUGUUUUGU
rnacentral:lncRNA from 1 species